AUUGAACGCUGGCGGCAGGCCUAACACAUGCAAGUCGAGCGGAUGACGGGAGCUUGCUCCUUGAUUCAGCGGCGGACGGGUGAGCAAUGCCUAGGAAUCUGCCUGGUAGUGGGGGACAACGUUUCGAAAGGAACGCUAAUACCGCAUACGUCCUACGGGAGAAAGCAGGGGACCUUCCGGCCUUGUGCUAUCAGAUGAGCCUAGGUCGGAUUAGCUAGUUGGGGGGGUAAUGGCUCACCAAGGCGACGAUCCGUAACUGGUCUGAGAGGAUGAUCAGUCACACUGGAACUGAGACACGGUCCAGACUCCUACGGGAGGCAGCAGUGGGGAAUAUUGGACAAUGGGCGAAAGCCUGAUCCAGCCAUGCCGCGUGUGUGAAGAAGGUCUUCGGAUUGUAAAGCACUUUAAGUUGGGAGGAAGGGCAGUAAGCUAAUACCUUGCUGUUUUGACGUUACCGACAGAAUAAGCACCGGCUAACUCUGUGCCAGCAGCCGCCGUAA
rnacentral:rRNA from 1 species